rnacentral:misc_RNA from 1 species
AGGAUACAUAUAAGAAUUGGUAAACCUCUAGAAAUGAAAAUUACCUAUAUUGUACAAGACAGCUGCGACAACGAUCCAGGUGACAGUACUGCUUCUUACUUUGUCGCUGAACUAAUCAGUAAGUAUGCGAGACAAAUUGAAUAGGCUUAGCUCUAACUAAGAGGCACGUUGAGGAUAGCUGCAUCCCAGUGUGUCAACAGUUUUGUGUGGCGACGAUGUGCUUCUUUAUGCUUGUAAAUACGACCUUGCUAAAUGGUAGUGAAUGAAUCCUUCAGAAACUUACUAUACACAGAGUGACAGAUGAACACCAGAAGACCUGUCAAGUUUAACUGUUGCCUUA